GUUGUUCCUAUUCUUCACAUUUCUAACUCUCGCUUUUUCUCUUUCUGUUUCUUCUCUUCACAUUCCACAUCUUUCUCUCACUCAAAUUUCAUCUGAAUCUCUUCUAUGAACCUAAAUGCCUUUCCAUCACAACCGUUAAAUUGCGUCUGAGAAGGCAGAGGAGUUCAAGUGUAAAUCGGCGCUAGCUUAUGGUUCUGGAAAAAAAUGGUGUGCGAAUCAGUUUGUGUUGAAAAGGCACACGACGGAGACAGCAUCAAGCGAUUAUUAGAUCUAUUUGGAGAAAAAGAGUCGGAGAAGUUUGCAAAUAGAGGUAGUGGAGUUAGGGUAUGGAACGAUGAUGAAUACGGAAGGUUUGUUACGGUUAUGAGAUAGAUUUGUGGAUUUGGUUGAAGGAAAUACAUGGCUGGUUUUGUGAUGUGUUGCAUUUUUUAACCGUUUAUCCCAAAAGUUUUCUACCAAAUUUUGUUUUUCUUUGACUUUUGAUAUUGGAGUUAUAGUUCUGUUUAGAUAUGCAAGUCUCAACUUUUAGGAUCGAAGAAUCAAAGGGCGAUGUUGGUGAAAUCAGAAUUGCAUUAUAGUAAUGAGCAGUUGCCGCGGUUUGAGAUUUUAUUCUGUCAUCAUGGAAACCGAACUGAGUAAUAGCAAUACUAGAGGAAGAGGUUUUGGUACCAUUUUUGGUUUCACUAUUAAUCCUAGAUCACUCAAGUUUCAACCUUCUGGGUUUUGCCUUUAGUGAUUUAAUGAAUGGCUUUAUCUCUCUCCCCAUCAAGGCUCAUGGUUUUUCUUUCAACAAAGCACUUAAGGUUAUAAUCUAUCUCUUAUUCUUGAUUUUAAGUUAUUUUCAUGAUCAAUGAUAGGUUUAUUUUGUGCUCAACCUCAAAGACAAGAACUUAUACAAGAUUUGUACAAAACUUGGCACGAUCCUGUUCGUGGCAUGGUUAGUGGUGACAUGAUUCGGUAUAUAUAUAUAUACACACACGCGCGCGAUUUCAACUUUUAGUAAUACCAUUUUAAACUUCAUGUCCUAUUUUUGCAUAAAUUUGUUGGUUCCCUUUAGAAGGGCAACAAGACGGAAGCCGCAAAGGAUUUUAUUUUAUACGUCUGUAUCUUUAAUUUAUAUGUAUUUUAAAAAAUAAUAUCAUGAUAUAUCUAAAUGAUGAAAUCUAAAUGAACUACUAAUUGUACAGGGAUGGUGUAAGUGAAUCACAAUUUUACCAAGUUCUACUAACGAGCUGAUGUGAUUCAGAAGGUUUGAAGGAACCAAUAAAGAUGGGAACCUGUUUCUUUUUUUCAAUUUCUAUGGUAUGAAAUUUGAUAAAAGUUAGAUAUUUGAAGUCAUUUAGUUAUGAAUUUUAUUUUGUAGAUUACAAAUAAGAUAUCUUCAUUGUUAAUAAUUAAAUCAAGUGAAAUUGAAUGAAUUUAUAGUCUGUGAUAAUUGACAGUGGCUUCAUCACAAAUUGAGUCCAAUUGAAUCUGGCUGUUGUCGACCGCCUUAUGAGUAGGUUAUCCUUUAUUUUCAAAGAGUUUCUUUAUCUAUAAUAAUCGGUCAAUCAAUAUAGAUUGCAGAUUUUUAUUUAACCAAGCUUAGCGAUGUGCAAGUUCAACGGAUAACA